rnacentral:tRNA from 1 species
GAGGGUAUAGCUCAAGUGGUAGAGUACAUGCUUAGCAUGCUUAUCAUUGAACAUCCUGGGUUCAAUCCCCAGUACCUCCU